rnacentral:lncRNA from 1 species
CCACCUGCUCCAUCCCCUCCAUUCACCCCCAAUGAUGGACCUCCUCUAAACUCAUCUGUGCAGUAUGAAAUUGCUGAUAUCCAACUGUUUCUUACCCAGAAAUACAGCAAUUUUAUGAGGUUUAACCUGACAGAAAACUCUCCAUCAUUCCCUCCCCUUGGUGGAUUGUCAGUCAAUUUGAUUUCUACUAACAUCUGUACUUUACCAUGAGGUGUUCACUCUGCUGGUAAUUACUCAGUAUCCAGCACAGGACAGGAAAAAAAAAAAGGUACUAAACCAAUACCAGCAUAGAGAUUCACAGGAAGUAAUUGCAACAACCACCAGAAAUGCAAACAAAGGGCUGAAAAUGAGACUGGUGUGCCCACGUAUGACAAAAGAAGACAUUGCUCAUGAGUCGAGUCUAUGCUGGAGAACAAAGCUGCACCCUCUGCCUUAUGAAGGGCCACACGGACCCUCCACUCUACAACAAACUUGAUGUAUAUUCUGGCCUUUAAUCUUCACAAUCCCUCAGGAGGUAGGAAUCAUUAUGUUUAUUUUACGCAUGAGGAAAUUGAGGGUAAAAGGGUUAAAUAACAUACCCAAGGUGACGCACCAACAGUCUGUGGAACCAGGAUCAGUCCCAAGCUGUCUGACUCUAAACUGCGUGCUUCCUGGCCUCCUGCCACUGUCCUGAUCUCGUACAGCUACGAACAAGCUGAGGUGAUUUCUCCCAAGCCUUUCUCCAGUGGCUCCUUGUGAUGCCUCAUGGCUGUAAUGGAAGAGGAAAACUAGAAUCUGUCCCACUGGGAAUAUGAGUCAGCUCAGCCAUGCAUAGGACUCCCCUGUGUUUUCUGAGCUAGUUUCAUGCGGGAUCAUUGAGAAUUCGUCACUGGCUGACGGUAAAUGAGCAUCUACUUAGCACGUUGCAGACAGUAGACUCUAAGUAUAACAUGCUCAUCUUCAUAGUAAUGCUGGAAGGCAGACAGCAUCCGGUCUAAUAUGUGAGGAUUCCCCUCUUCUCAGGUCGCACUCUCUAGCUACAAUCCAGGAUUGCUCCUUGACAUUUCAGCCUCACUCCUAUUUGAGGAACGACAUGAAUAUUUACUAAGUUGUUUACAUGCACCAGGAGCUUUAUGUACAGCAUCUUCUUAAU